GUUUCUGUGGUGCAAUCAGUUAGCGCAUUCAUCUAUUAACUGAAAGUCUGGUGGUUCGAACCCACCCAGGGACA
rnacentral:tRNA from 1 species